rnacentral:rRNA from 1 species
AGUGAACGCUGGCGGUAGGCCUAACACAUGCAAGUCGAACGGCAGCACAGUAAGAGCUUGCUCUUACGGGUGGCGAGUGGCGGACGGGUGAGGAAUACAUCGGAAUCUACUUUUUCGUGGGGGAUAACGUAGGGAAACUUACGCUAAUACCGCAUACGACCUACGGGUGAAAGCAGGGGAUCUUCGGACCUUGCGCGAUUGAAUGAGCCGAUGUCGGAUUAGCUAGUUGGCGGGGUAAAGGCCCACCAAGGCGACGAUCCGUAGCUGGUCUGAGAGGAUGGUCAGCCACACUGGAAGUGAGACAGGGUCCAGACUCCUACGGGAGGCAGCAGUGGGGAAUAUUGGACAAUGGGGGCAAGCCUGAUCCAGCCAUACCGCGUGGGUGAAGAAGGCCUUCGGGUUGUAAAGCCCUUUUGUUGGGAGAGAAAAGCAGCAGGUUAAUACCCCGCUGUUCUGACGGUACCCAAAGAAUAAGCACCGGCUAACUUCGUG